GGUGAACAAGGUCUUCAGGGACCUCCAGGGCCACCAGGACAAAUUGGAGAACAGAAAAGACCAAAUGACAUUGAGUUUCAGAAAGGAGAUCAGGGUAUUCCAGGUGAUCCAGGCCCACCAGGACUUCCUGGGCCUCCAGGCCCUCCUGGUCUUCCCGGUGGUGUGAAAGGUGAAAAAGGUGAGCAAGGAGAACCAGGCAAAAGAGUAAGUAGUCUGUUUAACCAAACAUUUAUCUUUCCAUUCAGUGUUAUCUUUGACAAUUAAGCAAAUGUUGAAUUCAGGUGGGGCCAUCAGUUUAUGGGUAAGAGACUACUUUUUUUUCUCCUUGUAACCUGGCAACUCAUAGAUGAUGCACAGGGGUCAUGACAGUGUUUCUAGCUGUGGCUCUCUGUGUUUCUGAUAGAAUUAUCUACAUGUAGAUCUUAGUUUGAGGGGCAGGAGAAA
rnacentral:lncRNA from 1 species